rnacentral:rRNA from 1 species
GACGAACGCUGGCGGCGUGCUUAACACAUGCAAGUCGAACGGAAAGGCCCCAGCUUGCUGGGGUACUCGAGUGGCGAACGGGUGAGUAACACGUGGGUGAUCUGCCCUGCACUCUGGGAUAAGCCUGGGAAACUGGGUCUAAUACCGGAUAGGACCGUGCUUUAGUGUGUGCGGUGGAAAGUUUUUCGGUGCAGGAUGAGCCCGCGGCCUAUCAGCUUGUUGGUGGGGUAAUGGCCUACCAAGGCGGCGACGGGUAGCCGGCCUGAGAGGGUGUACGGCCACAUUGGGCCUGAGGCACGGCCCAGACUCCUACGGGAGGCAGCGGUGGGGAAUAUUGCGCGAUGGGCGGAAGCCUGAUGCAGCGACGCCGCGUGGGGGAUGACGGCCUUCGGGUUGUAAACCCCUUUCGGCAGGGACGAAGCUUUUGUGACGGUACCUGAAUAAGAAGCACCGGCUAACUACGUG